rnacentral:rRNA from 1 species
AUCGUUUAUUUGAUAGUACCUUACUACUUGGAUAACCGUGGUAAUUCUAGAGCUAAUACAUGCUAAAAACCUCGACUUCGGAAGGGGUGUAUUUAUUAGAUAAAAAACCAAUGCCCUUCGGGGCUCCUUGGUGAUUCAUAAUAACUUAACGAAUCGCAUGGCCUUGUGCCGGCGAUGGUUCAUUCAAAUUUCUGCCCUAUCAACUUUCGAUGGUAUGGUCUUGGCUUACCAUGGUUUCAACGGGUAACGGGGAAUUAGGGUUCUAUUCCGGAGAGGGAGCCUGAGAAACGGCUACCACAUCCAAGGAAGGCAGCAGGCGCGCAAAUUACCCAAUCCCGACACGGGGAGGUAGUGACAAUAAAUACUGAUACAGGGCUCUUUUGGGUCUUGUAAUUGGAAUGAGUACAAUUUAAAUCCCUUAACGAGGAACAAUUGGAGGGCAAGUCUGGUGCCAGCAGCCGCGGUAAUUCCAGCUCCAAUAGCGUAUAUUAAAGUUGUUGCAGUUAAAAAGCUCGUAGUUGAACCUUGGGCCUGGCUGGCCGGUCCGCCUCACCGCGUGCACUGGUCCGGCCGGGUCUUUCCUUCUGAGGAGCCGCAUGCCCUUCACUGGGUGUGUCGGGGAAUCAGGACUUUUACUUUGAAAAAAUUAGAGUGUUCAAAGCAGGCCUAUGCUCGAAUACAUUAGCAUGGAAUAAUAGAAUAGGACGUGUGGUUCUAUUUUGUUGGUUUCUAGGACCGCCGUAAUGAUUAAUAGGGAUAGUCGGGGGUAUCAGUAUUUCGUUGUCAGAGGUGAAAUUCUUGGAUUUACGGAAGACUAACUACUGCGAAAGCAUUUACCAAGGAUGUUUUCAUUAAUCAGUGAACGAAAGUUAGGGGAUCGAAGACGAUUGACCGCAUAUCUCAUGUAUCUGGUCGUCGAUAGCAGCUUUUAGUGCUGUCUAAUUCAGCUACGGUUGAGUUACACCAUCAAAUUGCCGGGGACCUCCUAAAGCCCACACUACACCCUGCCGCGGGAAACUGCGGUAGUAUUGUAAAAAUGUGUGAGAUAACGCAGCAUGCUCUGCACUAUGGACAAUCCGCAGCCAAUUCCUACGGCCUUCAGGCUAUGGAUGCAGUUAACAGACUAGACGUUGGUGGGGCCUCGGGCCUUAAGAUAUAGUCGAGCACCUGCUGAAAAGCUGGUGAUGUAACGCAGAUACCGUCGUAGUCUUAACCAUAAACUAUGCCGACUAGGGAUCGGGCGAUGUUAUCUUUUUGA